AUCAUGACCCAAGCAGAAAUCAAGAGUCAGUUGCUUAACCAACUGAGCCACCCAGACAACCCCUCACUCCUGAUUCUUUUCAACAAAACACACACUGUGUUUGGAACUACCAGGGUGAAGCCUGAUGACUCAUCUCAUGGGGGAGCACCGCAUGAAUGCCGACAGAACAUCAGUAACCUCCCUGAAACAGUGGAUCUGGCAGAUUCAGAGUGGGGCUGAUGUCUCUGAAAUAAACAGCUCAGCUCUUCAGUCAAAGGCUGACACACUUACCUUCAUGUCAAUUCAGUUAGGUUGGCUUCAGGAACAACCACUGACUCUGACUCUGGUUUAUUUUUACAUAAAAGGUCCCUUCUAAAUGGUGGGCAUGCAUUCAGUCUUCUCCUUCAAUUCACACAACUCCCAGGGGACAAAUUAAUCCUCUGAGAAAAGCCUUCCUUGGGCAACUCCCCGUAACCCACCAUUGUUUCUUGGCAACCCACAGAAAAAAGCCUCAACCCACUGGCAAGAAGACUCAAGCUCCCCCAACAAAUUAGACUCAACCUACCACAGCCUAGGCCUUCUCUUCCACAACCCCAUCCUAAGUGUAUGCUUCUGGAUGUCUCCAGAUCCAUUUCACAGUGCUUUACCUCAAUCCCUCUUAAGGACAAUAACAGCAUUAAUUUAUCAGGUCCUAAAUCAACUACCUUUUGCCUCAUAGAGAUUAUAAACCUCCUCAAGUACCAGACUGUGUAUCAUACCUAUUUUCAACUCCACAACAUCUAACCGGCACGAGGUGAAGGAACUCACCUAACAGACCCAGUUUGUCUGGUAACCUCUUAAAAAUCAUCACUUCUAUAGCCUUCCAUGACAAAUUUGUACAAUGAAUUCAUACACUUUUUUUUUUUUUUUUUCCCGCCCAGGAUUCUAAUAUAAAGCCAAGGUCUAAAUUUUCGUAAAAUACAAUGGAAAAAAGAAAACUGAAUAUAAGAUCACACUCCUAAGUCUCUAUCGAGCAUAUUCUACUACCUGCUUGAGCUACAAACCUUGAGAAAAACAUACCAAUACUGCCUUGGCAGUGAAGUGGUUAAGCGACAGAGGCUAUGCUGACUGAAGGACUAGAACUGCAGUUCCGGCUCUGCAACUGUGUCACCUUGGGCAAGUCACUGAACUAAUCCACUAAUCCAUUUUUCACCUACCAAAUCGGGAUCAGAAAAGUUAUGCGGGGAGGAUUAAACAAGAGAUGUAUGCAAAGCGCUUACUGUAGGACCCCUGAAAUGCAUCCGGCCUUGACGUGAAGAAGACGUGACCUGCCCAUGGUCUUCCCCAGAGGUGACACCAAAAUUGUGAUCUGCACCCUGGGUCAGCCAAAAACCCAGUGGACAAGAAAGGACAGCUCGAAGUCUGGUGCGGUCAGCCUUUGCGGCUGGAAAAGCAUUCGCUCAUUCUUUCUUCUUUUGGGCCCUGCUACAGGGUCAAAAAUGCUACCAUCUCCAGACCUUUUACUCCCCAUUCUCGUCUUUUUCUCCCGACCAUUCCCGUUCACCAUCUGCUCCCUGCUUCAUUUCAUCUCUCCAGAGUCUACGCAGUCAUCCAAAGCUACAUCUUUCAGUAAGGAUGAUAACAAAUGAUUACUGAACAAAAACAUCCAUACAACCCUCAUUUGUUUGGGGCAACAGUGUGGGCAGCCCAGUGGGGUCAUGUUUGCACAAGCCCACCAUAGCUGCAUGGCUCCCUCUUCCCCAAGAUCCUUUGCAGCACGGCAUGGGCUGAUGUGAUAUGGAGAAAGUCUGCUGGGCAGCCAUGGAGAAUACGAAGAAGGCAAGGACACCUCCAGACAAGAUUUCAUUCCUGCUCACUCUGUUGUGAUGAAAACUAAGCUCCAGUUAGUUUGAUGGCUAAAACCAGCCCAACAGCUGAAAGAGUCUUGAAAGGAAAUCACAGAUUUUAGAGAAUGCAAUGUGAGAUUUACCUGUAGAUAUAUUCUGUUACCAUUUUUUAAAAACAAAUAUGUAUUUCUUAAUAUUCAGAACACUGGAGUUAUAUCACAAGGAAAGAGUCUGGGGUCAAUGAAGAUUUUUGAAUUUGCGCUUCUGCUGUGCUGGUCUUUCCACCUCCCAUCCCCCACCCUGGACUCCCACUGCUCUGACCCCUCCCACUGCGAGGCAGUCCUGGCUGGAACCCUGUACCGGAUGUUGAUGACCAGCCCAGGGGAACAGGAAUGGUAGUGGAACUUUCUGUUCAUUUUCCUGACACUCUGGAUGAGGAGGUCCUAUUUGGGGUUUCCUGAGAUUUUUUUAGCUUAGCUCUUUAAUGGUGUUUAAAAGCUCUGACACUGGGCUCUUCCCUCAUGAUCAGUGGAUAUAGGGGAGUGACUGGGACCUUGCAGCUGGCGUGCCUAUUUGGGAAAGAGGGGCAGAGGGUACCCAUAUCCUACGUCUCAACUCCAGCUCCUCUGGCCUGUCCAGGUUCUUCUGAAGGUCACCUAGAGUCGUUGAGUCGGCUGUCUCCCAGAUGCAUGGACAUAGCAGCCAAAAGGGCAGAUUCCCAGCCCAGAAACUUGGCCCACUGUUGCUCCCUUGUUGACAGCUGCUGCUGAAUCUCUGAGGUAAGGCCCAAAGUGGCCUUCCCCAGGUGGGCAGCAGCCCUCAGGGUGCAGGAGGGCAGGCUGUGCCCAGCAGAGGGAGAGUAGCCCUACCAGCUGGAAGGCGAGGCCUGGGUGACCCAACGGGCAGUAGCAGGUUUGUGUCUGGACUUUCCACCUUUCCCCUGGGCCACCCAGCAGGCUGGAGACCUGGAAUGGGGCUGGCAGGAUGAGCAGCCAUCUGGAGGCUAGGACAGCCUCCCUUCUGCUGGGCUCUGUUCAAGAGAUUUCCACUGGCUGCCCUUCCUCCCUCCUGCUGUUUCUGGUAUUUUCCGGGGCCAGUCUUGCACAGAGCAGGGUGGGCACCAUGGAGCCUCUGUGGGCAAAGGGCCACAGCUUACACUUCAGUUUCCAGGCAAGAGGCCCAGCCACCAGAUCAGUGAAUCAGGCGAAACCUGAGCCCCCAGAGCCUCCACACUGCCGUUUGAGAGGGUCGGAAAAGGGUGGUGUUUCAUCUGUUACCAUUUUUAAUUAAGAGAUUAAUUCAUUAAUUUUGAAACUGCAUACGCCUUCCUGUUCUUUACUCCUUGGUGCAAAAGCACAUGUCUCUUCCAUUCCCAAGAAAGAGGCCAAAUACUGGUGACCUCCC